GCUACAGUUUCACCUUACAAGCUUAACUGAUAGACAGUACCUUCCACAUAUUAAUUAGUACCCACCUCAUCCACAAGAUGCUAUAAAUGCACUGCAAAAGUAGACUGAAAGAAGAAGAAGUGCAGGAAUAUUACGACUCAGAUAUCUUAGUUUUCAAUUUCAAAUUCUCAGUUUGUAAAUCAAAAUCAAAAGCUCAGAUAUCUCUCUCUCUCCCUCCCUCACUGACUCGCUCACUCGCAGCGUCUCUCAAAUCAGCUCGCUUCUCUGUCUUUGAUUCCCAAGAAGAUCAGCUCGCUUUUCUCUGCACAUUACUCCCUUCGGUUCCCGCAAUGCUCCUCCGAUUCUAAUUACAGGCUUACCAAGUUGAAUUGGAGUCAUUGGCGGUUGAAUUAGACGAGGAGAACGAGCGGCUUUUGAAAGAGAAGAUGUUGUAGCAGUAGCACCUCCAUUUCUUUACUUGGAUCAAGUGAAGAGCUCACUAACAGAUCGUAUUGAGAUAUCCGGUCAAAAUUCUUGGGUUGGAAAAGGUGGGGCUUUCACUGGGGAAAUCAGACAUGUUCCCAGUGCCUACUGAACAAGCAACAAAACUGCAAGAUAGGAGAUGGAUCCCUAUCAAACCUCACAUAACAGCUAGUGUGGAGCAUGUUGGGGGAGAUGCUAUAUUCCUGAAGUGGAUCCUUCAUGAUUGGAGUUCCACAAAUGAGCAAAUCCUUGCGUCAGUGCAGUCCGAGAACCUGCUUGCUCUCAAAUAAUUGUUGGCUAUAGGCCUAUAGCAGUGGUCUAAACAACUUGGGUCAUCAAGAGUCUUCUUUUGUGCCCCUGAAUUCCGAUUUAUGUGUGUUUAGAACUUUAGAUGUAGGCCUAGUUCAUUACUAGGUUUGGUUGGCUGUGUUUCUUCUAUUUGAUUUCUAUAGUCUUUUUUCUUUGUUGAUAUUAUUGGUUAGAACUUGUCUGAAUAAACAUAAUGUAUUAUACAAAACAAAUACAUCAUAUUUCAUACUUCCUAAUUACGAAUACGAUCCUGGUUACAGUUUACAUUUACAUUGCUGAUAUGAAAUAUGCAGUGCAAUUUGAUGUCUUU